AUCCAGCUGACGAGUCCCGAAUAGGACGAAACGCGCGUCCUGAAU
rfam:Schistosoma rodhaini strain Burundi genome assembly, scaffold: SROB_scaffold0009090